rnacentral:lncRNA from 1 species
UUUUUGUCUUUUUAGCUCACCUGGCCCGAAGGGCCAAGUGAGCUAUUCCCAUCACUUUGCGUCCGGCGUCCGUCGGCGUCCGUCGUCGUCCGUCGUCCGUCGUCGUUAACUUUUACAAAAAUCUUCUCCUCUGAAACUACUGGGCCAAAUCAAACCAAACUUGGCCACAAUCAUCAUUGGGGUAUCUAGUUUAAAAAAUGUGUGGCGUGACCCGGUCAACCAACCAAGAUGGCCGCCACAGCUAAAAAUAGAACAUAGGGGUAAAAUGCAGUUUUUGGCUUAUAACUCAAAAACCAAAGCAUUUUGAGGAAAUCUGACAUGGGAUAAAAAUGUUUAUCAGGUCAAGAUCUAUCUGCCCUGAAAUUUUCAGAUGAAUCGGUCAAUCGGUUGUUGGGUUGCUGCCCCUGAAUUGGUAAUUUUGAGGAAAUUUUGCUGUUUUUGGUUAUUAUCUUGAAUAUUAUUAUAGAUAGAGAUAAACUGUAAACAGCAAUAAUGUUCAGCAAAGUAAGAUCUACAAAUAAGUCAACAUGACCAAAAUGGUCAGUUGACCCGUUUAGGAGUUAUUGCCCUUUAUAGUCAAUUUUUAACCAUUUUUCGUAAAUUAAAGUAAUCUUUUACAAAAAUCUUCUCCUCUGAAACUACUGGGCCAAAUUAAUCCAAACUUGGCCACAAUCAUCUUUGGGGUAUCUAGUUUAAAAAAUGUGUGGCAUGACCUGGUCAACCAACCAAGAUGGCCGCCACCGCUAAAAAUAGAACAUAGGGGUAAAAUGCAGUUUUUGGCUUAUAACUCAAAAACCAAAGCAUUUAGAGGAAAUCUGACAUGGAAUAAAAAUGUUUAUCAGGUCAAGAUCUAUCUGCCCUGAAAUUUUCAG